ACGAUUGGAAGAGUCUGUCUAAGCAGUGAGGUGUGAAUUGAGUCAAAUGCUUAAUUCUAUAACAUUGAGCUGUGAUGGGGAGCGAAGUUUAGUAGCGAAGUUAGUGACGUCACACUGCCAAGAAAAGCUUCUAGCGUUUAAACAUACUCUACCCGUACCGCAAACCGACACAGGUAGUCGAGGCGAGUAGCCUCAGGUGAGCGAGAGAACUCUCGUUAAGGAACUCGGCAAAAUGACCCCGUAACUUCGGG
rnacentral:rRNA from 1 species